CCACUAGUUUCUUUGUUUUUCCUUUCCCUCAUUUAAGCAUUAGGCUGAAGCAGGUUAUUGUAGGCUGGUGUGUGUUGGUGUUGUGUCAGGGUCAGAGGCUGCGUGAGUCAUGCAGAAACCUGACACGCUGCAUUCCUGUGUCUCUCAGUCUGAGCUCAUCACCUCACAAGCACAGCUGUAAAUUACAGACCAUUACUGUCAGCUAUCCGGGUUUGCAUUAAUCUCAGUGAGUGCUGAACUGUGGCCGCAGGUAGGGCAGGUAAUUUCGUUAGGGUAAGCAUUCGUGCAAGCAUGCAGUUGCACUCAGAUACACCCUUGAUCUUCACACACACGCACACACAAACACAUGCAGCUACAUGAACAUGCGGUCAUAGUGUAUCUUGUGAUUUCUCUGCAUUAGCGUUAGCCAGUAAAAUUUCAUGAUUAACAGAAUCACAUUUUGAUACCAUUAGACUGCAAAGCAGUCUAUCUAUAUGUAGUUUCAUUUAAAACAAACAAACAAAUAAAUAAAUUCAGCAUUUUCUGGUUUCUGCAUUCAUUUACAGACAUUGCCAAAAAUAAUGGCACCCUAGUUUUAAUAAUCCAUAAUUUCUUUUAGAAAACUACUGAAAUUAAAAAAUACUUUGGAAUCCACCUAUGUGUGUCUUCAGUGUGCAGAAACUCAUGCCUAACUCAUUCACAUGCACUCUCUGUAGAGCAUUUGUACAAGUUUUCAUGUGUGAGUUUUCAUUAAGAUCACUUAGGUACCAAAUUGUGUUAGUACUUAUUAUUGGAAUACUGUUUAAAUUCUUGAGUCAUCUCUAACAAGGUGUGUAUAUGUGGGGGGUGUAUGUGUCUCAAUAGGUGGCGGUGUAUGACUACAUCUGGACGGAGGAGGAGCCUGUGGUAGGAUUGGCACCGCCUUCGGAUAAGCCCAUUACAGGAUGUGAGACCAGCACCCAUCUAUCCAUCUACACCCUGCACUUGAGCACCCUGCACCAACAUUACAGACUCUUCCUGAAACAACCUGAUGGAGCCAUUAUAGAGGCUUGGCUGUUGGCUGCUCUCCCUCCAUGGACUCCAGCGGGACACUGGGGAAUGGCCUCUGCUGGGCAAAAUGGCUCCAGGAAACACAGAUUCUCCUUCUCUCAGACAAAAACCAGCAUAUAUUUCCAUUCCAUAUAUGCUCUUACCUGUUAAUGACUGAAAAAGGGGGGAAAUGUCAUCUGUGGUGAUUUUUGCAGGGUAUUGGUUUUCACGGGGCCUUAAGAAUGUGGGUGAGGCCUGUCAACAACCUCUCAUUUGUCACACACAGGUCACAUGACCUUGCCUGUCAUAUGACCUGAGAAUCUUCCUGUCGGAAGAAACAGGAUUACCAUUUUCAUCUAUUGCUCUCACCUUGAUCCUUUGUUUCCUAAUCAGCUCCACAUCCAGAACCUGCUGGAAUAUGCCAAUGGCUUACAAUGCAGCAUAUAACUUGUGUUGGGAUAUGUUGCAAUGAAUCUCUUAUAAAGGCAAUCAAUACUCACAUAGAAAAAAGUGCCAUUAAAAUGAGAGCUUGCGUGUGUUUAUGUAUCUGAACAAUCUUAGGACAUCUGUGCUGUAUCAGUAACACCUAUAUAUGUCUUUGCAGCCCACCUAGAUGAUGGCAUGGAGAACUAAUACCAUAUAAAUAAAUUGUGGCGUUCAAAGAUUGUUUUAGCUUGU
ensembl:lncRNA